rnacentral:rRNA from 1 species
GACGAACGCUGGCGGCGUGCCUAAUACAUGCAAGUUGAGCGCUGAAGGUUGGUACUUGUACCAACUGGAUGAGCAGCGCACGGGUGAGUAACGCGUGGGGAAUCUGCCUUUGAGCGGGGGACAACAUUUGGAAACGAAUGCUAAUACCGCAUAAAAACUUUAAACACAAGUUUUAAGUUUGAAAGAUGCAAUUGCAUCACUCAAAGAUGAUCCCGCGUUGUAUUAGCUAGUUGGUGAGGUAAAGGCUCACCAAGGCGAUGAUACAUAGUCGACCUGAGAGGGUGAUCGGCCACAGUGGGACUGAGACACGGCCCAAACUCCUACGGGAGGCAGCAGUAGGGAAUCUUCGGCAAGGGACGAAAGUCUGACCGAGAAACGCCGCGUGAGUGAAGAAGGUUUUCGGAUCGUAAAACUCUGUUGGUAGAGAAGAACGUUGGUGAGAGUGGAAAGCUCAUCAAGUGACGGUAACUACCCAGAAAGGGACGGCUAACUACGUG